GCAUCUAUGGCUGAAUGGUUAAAACGUCCAACUCAUAAUUGUCGAAUUCAUAGAUUCAAUUUCUACUGAAUGCA
rnacentral:tRNA from 1 species